GCCCACCAUGUUCCUGCCCAAGCGAGGCCACGCCAGCCGAGGGUACCCUGUGCAGAGGGCCAGUGGGGCCCCAUACAGCCAACACCUGCCAUAAAAGACGAGUUGGACCACGCAAGUCUUAGUUUGAAUGAUACAUUCACUCAGCCAGUAUUUAUCAAGCAUCCCCUACAUGGCGAAGGCUUGGGACCCGAGAGGGAGGCUGGAAUCGAGUGGCAACAGCUCGCCGCACACUGUGUGGUAAGAACCUUCAGGAAGAGGCCCAGAGGCCUGGAAAGCACGUGACAGCACAGUUGGGUCUGGGCUGGGGGACGGUGUCCGGGAAGUCAUGUUGGAUUGGAAAGCUGAAAGAGAAGUUGGUGUUAAACUAUGUGAAAUAGAGAAUGAGGCAUUCCAGGAGGAGGAAGCAGCUUGUGGUGGAAAGGAGUAUGGCAUGUUUGAGAAGUCAGAACAGCAGAUAAAUGGAUGGACCUAGAGUCUGUCAUACAGAGUGAAGGAAGUCAAAGAGGGAAACAAGCAUAGCAUAUUAACGCAUAUAUAUGGAAUCCAGAAAAAUGGUAUAGACGAACCUAUUUGCAGGGCAGGACAGAGACCCAGACGUAGAGAGCAGACCUGUGGGCACGGGAUGGGGAGGGCAGUGGACCAAGUUGGGAGAGGAGCGCUGACAUAUAUGCGCCCCCACGUGUGAAACUGAUCGCGAGGGGGCGCUGCUGUGUAACAGGGAGCACAGCUCCGUGCUCUGUGAUGAGCGGAGGUGGGGCGGGCUGAGAGAGGGAGGAGACAGAUGUGAACAUAAAGCGGAUUCACGUUGUUGUACCGCAGAAACUGACAGCAUCAUAAAGCAGUUACACAUCAAUAAAAAAAUUUUAAACAGAAUUCAAAAUAUAAACGAAGUCAACAGGGUGUAGACAGAGGGGGAGAUGAAAGGCCGACUCUGCUGGCAUUCUGCUUCUAACCCCUGGCUGCUCUCUGCUCCCUCCGCACUCCAGAGGCAGCACGGAGGUCCGUCGGCUGGCACGGUGCGGUGGGGCAGCUGGUGUUGUGAAUCAGGCCGUCGCCAAUCAGAGAACGGCUACUUCACAACACCAGGGUCACACCCCACCCCAGGCAGCGCUCCCAGCUCCAGCCCCCAUGCAGCCUCCACCUCGGCCGAUGGCCAUCGCUGGGGCACCGCCAAGCCCCCCAGAACCGCAGCAGGCGGCUUUACGGUUGACACCUCACGCUGUGCAGACACCACCGCAAACACAGGAGCCCUGAGGCGGUUUCUCCCCAGACGCAGACAGCUCCACUUGGAAGUGAAAGGCACUCCCACCAGCAUCGGCUUCCUGCAGAGAAAAUGGAGCCACCAGCUUCCCACGUGUCCAAGUAGGCACCAUUCAGGGUGUGGUCCACGGUGGUGGCAUCAGCACGCUGGGAAGGUGGCCCCCACACGCCUGCUGCAUCACAGUCCUGGGGCCUGGAGCCCAGCCUCGGCUCAGGGACUGGUGUUAACACGACCAGCUCCUGUUGGUCGCCCCACAUCCUCUCCCGCUUCCAUUCCAACCUCACGUCUUCUUGUUCCAGCCAGAAUGGUCUUUUCCAAACACGUGCCUGUAUCGUGGGAACCCCUCCACUCCCUGCCUUAA
ensembl:lncRNA